GAUGAACGCUGGCGGUCUGCUUAACACAUGCAAGUCGAACGGGCUCUUUCGGGAGCUCGUGGCGGACGGGUGAGUAACGCGUGAGAAUCUGCCCUUUGGAGGGGGAUAACGGUUGGAAACGACCGCUAAUACCCCAUGUGCCGAGAGGGAAAAAGUAAUUCGCCAAGGGAUGGGCUCGCGUCGGAUUAGCUAGUUGGUGGGGUAAGAGCCCACCAAGGCGACGAUCCGUAGCUGGUCGGAGAGGAUGACCGGCCACACUGGGACUGAGACACGGCGCAGACUCCUACGGGAGGCAGCAGUGGGGAAUUUGCCGCAAUGGGCGCAAGCCUGACGGAGCAAGACCGCGGGAGGGAAGACGGUCUGUGGAUGGUAAACCUCUUUUGACAGGGAAGAAGUACUGACGGUACCUGUCGAAUCAGCCUCGGCUAACUCCGUG
rnacentral:rRNA from 1 species